rnacentral:lncRNA from 1 species
CUAAGUCGCCCCGGGUACCCGAGUCUCUAAUAAAACCUCUUGCGGUUUUGCAUCCAAGUCUGUGGUCUCGCUGAUUCCUGGGUGCGGGUCUCCUUCUAUGCAAGUACCUCUUUGGGGGUCUUUCAUUUGGGGGCUCGUCCGGGAUGUAAGACCCCCACUCAGGGACCACCGACCCACGUUUGGGAGAAUGGCCGACCUUUGACGUAGGCUGGCCGCGAGAUGGUACCUUUAACCCCCAGACUAUAUUCCAGACCCCGUGAGGCUGACAUCUCUCAUAGAGUCGGUCCUCACGACUCACCAACCCACCUGGGAUGAUUGUCAGC